rnacentral:rRNA from 1 species
UACGUAGGGUGCAAGCGUUGUCCGGAAUUAUUGGGCGUAAAGAGCUCGUAGGCGGUUUGUCGCGUCUGCUGUGAAAACUCGGGGCUUAACCCCGGGCCUGCAGUGGGUACGGGCAGACUAGAGUGCGGUAGGGGAGACUGGAAUUCCUGGUGUAGCGGUGAAAUGCGCAGAUAUCAGGAGGAACACCAGUGGCGAAGGCGCCGCUCUGGGCCGUGACUGACGCUGAGGAGCGAAAGCGUGGGUAGCAAACAGG